GAAGCAAAGCCGCGAGGUAGAGCAAAUCUCAAAAAAACAUCUCAGUUCAGACUGCAGGCUGCAACUCGCCUGCACGAAGUCGGAAUUGCUAGUAAUCGUAGGUCAGCAUACUACGGUGAAUACGUUCCCGGGCCUUGUACACACCGCCUGUCAAACCAUGAGAGUUGGCAACACCCGAAGUCGGUAGUCUAACCGCAAGGAGGACGCCGCCGAAGGUGGGGUUGAUGAUUAGGGUUAAGUCGUAACAAGGUACC
rnacentral:rRNA from 1 species